GAUGGAGCUGAAGCCAGUCGAAGAUACCAGCUGGCUGCAACUGUUUAAUAAAAACACAGCACUGUGCAAACACGAAAGUGGACGUAUACGGUGUGACGCCUGCCCGGUGCUGGAAGGUUAAUUGAUGGGGUCAGCCGCAAGGCGAAGCUCUUGAUCGAAGCCCCAGUAAACGGCGGCCGUAACUAUAACGGUCCUAAGGUAGCGAAAUUCCUUGUCGGGUAAGUUCCGACCUGCACGAAUGGCGUAAUGAUGGCCAGGCUGUCUCCACCCGAGACUCAGUGAAAUUGAACUCGCUGUGAAGAUGCAGUGUACCCGCGGCAAGACGGAAAGACCCCGUGAACCUUUACUAUAGCUUGACACUGAACAUUGAGCCUUGAUGUGUAGGAUAGGUGGGAGGCUUUGAAGCGUGGACGCCAGUCUGCGUGGAGCCAUCCUUGAAAUACCACCCUUUAAUGUUUGAUGUUCUAACUCGGCCCCAUAAUCUGGGGUGAGGACAGUGUCUGGUGGGUAGUUUGACUGGGGCGGUCUCCUCCCAAAGAGUAACGGAGGAGCACGAAGGUUAGCUAAUCACGGUCGGACAUCGUGAGGUUAGUGCAAAGGCAUAAGCUAGCUUGACUGCGAGAGUGACGGCUCGAGCAGGUACGAAAGUAGGUCUUAGUGAUCCGGUGGUUCUGAAUGGAAGGGCCAUCGCUCAACGGAUAAAAGGUACUCCGGGGAUAACAGGCUGAUACCGCCCAAGAGUUCAUAUCGACGGCGGUGUUUGGCACCUCGAUGUCGGCUCAUCACAUCCUGGGGCUGAAGUAGGUCCCAAGGGUAUGGCUGUUCGCCAUUUAAAGUGGUACGCGAGCUGGGUUUAGAACGUCGUGAGACAGUUCGGUCCCUAUCUGCCGUGGGCGUUGGAAGAUUGAGAGGGGUUGCUCCUAGUACGAGAGGACCGGAGUGAACGCACCACUGGUGUUCGGGUUGUCAUGCCAAUGGCAUUGCCCGGUAGCUAAGUGCGGAAAAGAUAAGCGCUGAAAGCAUCUAAGCGCGAAACUUGCCUCAA
rnacentral:rRNA from 1 species